rnacentral:rRNA from 1 species
UACAGAGGUCUCAAGCGUUGUUCGGAUUCAUUGGGCGUAAAGGGUGCGUAGGUGGCGGGGUAAGUCAGGUGUGAAAUCUCGGGGCUCAACCCCGAAACUGCACUUGAUACUGCCUUGCUCGAGUACUGGAGAGGAGAUUGGAAUUCAUGGUGUAGCAGUGAAAUGCGUAGAGAUCAUGAGGAAGACCAGUGGCGAAGGCGGGUCUCUGGACAGUUCCUGACACUGAGGCACGAAGGCCAGGGGAGCAAACGGG